CUCCGACAUGACGCAUGUCGUGUUGGGAAAGAUUCUAUCGGUAUGGGAUGGGGUCGCGUCCUAUCAGGUAGUCGGCGGGGUAACGGCCCACCGAGCCUACGACGGGUAGCCGGCCUGAGAGGGCGACCGGCCACAUUGGGACUGAGAUACGGCCCAGACUCCUACGGGAGGCAGCAGUGGGGAAUAUUGCACAAUGGGCGCAAGCCUGAUGCAGCGACGCCGCGUGCGGGAUGACGGCCUUCGGGUUGUAAACCGCUUUUGACUGGGAGCAAGCCCUUCGGGGUGAGUGUACCUUUCGAAUAAGCACCGGCUAACUACGUGCCAGCAGCCGCGGUAAUACGUAGGGUGCAAGCGUUAUCCGGAAUUAUUGGGCGUAAAGGGCUCGUAGGCGGUUCGUCGCGUCCGGUGUGAAAGUCCAUCGCUUAACGGUGGAUCCGCGCCGGGUACGGGCGGGCUUGAGUGCGGUAGGGGAGACUGGAA
rnacentral:rRNA from 1 species